UUCUAUAAGAGCUAAUUUAUAGUAAAAUCUGCUCAAUGAAUAAUUAUAUAGCCGCUAUACGUGCUAAGGUAGUAAAAUAAUUUGUCUUUUAAUUAAAGACCAAACAAAAGAUUUAACAUUUAAAUUUUUUUCUUAAAUUUUUUUCUUAAAUUUUUUUUAAAUGUAAAAAAACAUUUACAAAAAAGAAAGACGACAAGACCCUAUCAAACUUAACUUAAGUUAAACUGGGGUAGUAAAAUAAAUUAAUAUUUUUAUAUAAGUAAUAAACAAACUAUUCUAAUAUUAUUAUAUAAUUAAGUUACUGUAGGGAUAACAGCGUAAUAAAAUCUUUUAGCUCUUAUUAAAAAUUUAGAUUGCGACCUCGAUGUUGAUUAAUUUUUCUUAUUUACGCAAUAGUUAAAAAAGUAAGUCUGUUCGACUUUUAAAAGAUUACA
rnacentral:rRNA from 1 species